GACGAACGCUGGCGGCGUGCUUAAUACAUGCAAGUCGAACGGAAAGGCCCUGCUUUUGUGGGGUGCUCGAGUGGCGAACGGGUGAGUAACACGUGAGUAACCUGCCCUUGACUUUGGGAUAACUUCAGGAAACUGGGGCUAAUACCGGAUAGGAGCUCCUGCUGCAUGGUGGGGGUUGGAAAGUUUCGGCGGUUGGGGAUGGACUCGCGGCUUAUCAGCUUGUUGGUGGGGUAGUGGCUUACCAAGGCUUUGACGGGUAGCCGGCCUGAGAGGGUGACCGGCCACAUUGGGACUGAGAUACGGCCCAGACUCCUACGGGAGGCAGCAGUGGGGAAUAUUGGACAAUGGGCGGAAGCCUGAUGCAGCAACGCCGCGUGCGGGAUGACGGCCUUCGGGUUGUAAACCGCUUUCGCCUGUGACGAAGCGUGAGUGACGGUAAUGGGUAAAGAAGCACCGGCUAACUACGUG
rnacentral:rRNA from 1 species